rnacentral:rRNA from 1 species
UACGUAGGGGGCAAGCGUUGUCCGGAAUCAUUGGGCGUAAAGAGCGUGUAGGCGGCCAGGUAGGUCUGCUGUGAAAACUCGAGGCUUAACCUCGAGCUGUCGGCGGAAACCAUCUGGCUAGAGUCCGGAAGAGGAGAAUGGAAUUCCCGGUGUAGCGGUGAAAUGCGCAGAUAUCAGGAAGAACACCGAUGGCGAAGGCAGCUCUCUGGGACGGUACUGACGCUGAGACGCGAAAGCGUGGGGAGCGAACAGG